UAAAAGAAAAAUAUUAAUUUCAUACAAACGUAUAUUUUCAUUGGGUAUUAGUGUGACCAAUGGUAGUGAGUCUUGAACUUGAGACGAUCCAAUGCGAGCGCAGAAUGUGCUGCAGCGGAAAAAUUGUUUUCCGGUUUUUUUUGCACGAGGUUCAUGCGUGAAGUUAGAAGCUCUCUCUCUCUCGUGCACGGAUGCCUGAUGAGCGCGGUGUCACGACGCUCCGAAACAGAAAUAAAGAAAAUAAUCUUCUAGAUGAGUUAUAUCGAUGGAUUGAUGGUAAAGAGAGGGAUUUAAACGAGACGUGCUGUACCCGCACCAUUCUGGAAUUUUCCGUGAGUUAACGAUCUCCUUGGUCAGGUUUUUUUUUGUUGUUCUGUCCUUUUCCGAAUUCAAUUUCGUGCCUGUAUUCUGGAUCUGUCCCGGCCUUCCAGUGGUUCUGCGGAGGGUUUGGACUGGCGAGCCUCCCUUGAGUCUGUUCUCGGAUCUUUCACUUGAGGAAAGACAAGUCUUAGCACUGAUUUGAACUGCGAAUGGUAGGAAAAAGAAUAACUUUUCUCAUCUUUUGUUUUUUCUCGGAUGGACACCCUUUUUCAUCACCAACUGAUAAAGGACAAUUAACUUUUCCUAUGGACUUUUCAAAGGACUCUUUUCACAAGGACUGAAUAUUUUGAUCAUAUUCAAUUGAAAUUGUUCAAAUUGAUUGUAUAUUGUUUAUUUUGAGUUUGAAAAUUUAUAUUGUGCUUAUCCAAGAUAUAAGUGUGUACAAUUACAACACAUGAGUAUAUUUAACUUCAAUAGAGUUAAGGGAACAUUGCAGAAACCGUAGUGAGCUGACUUUACUUUGUUGAAACCCAAAGAGAAAAAAUU